CGGGGGAAAGAUUUAUCGGCAAAGGAUCGGCCCGCGUUGGAUUAGGUAGUUGGUGGGGUAAUGGCUCACCAAGCCGACGAUCCAUAGCUGGUUUGAGAGGAUGAUCAGCCACACUGGGACUGAGACACGGCCCAGACUCCUACGGGAGGCAGCAGUGGGGAAUCUUAGACAAUGGGCGCAAGCCUGAUCUAGCCAUGCCGCGUGAGCGAUGAAGGCCUUAGGGUUGUAAAGCUCUUUCGUGGGGGAAGAUAAUGACUGUACCCCAAGAAGAAGCCCCGGCUAACUCCGUGCCAGCAGCCGCGGUAAUACGGAGGGGGCUAGCGUUGUUCGGAAUUACUGGGCGUAAAGCGCACGUAGGCGGACCGGAAAGUCAGAGGUGAAAUCCCAGGGCUCAACCUUGGAACUGCCUUUGAAACUCCCGGUCUUGAGUUCGAGAGAGGUGAGUGGAAUUCCGAGUGUAGAGGUGAAAUUCGUAGAUAUUCG
rnacentral:rRNA from 1 species